rnacentral:rRNA from 1 species
AAAAAAGGUAAGCUACUAAGAGCGAAUGGUGGAUGCCUUGACUGGUAAAGGCGAUGAAGGACGUACUAGACUGCGAUAAGCUACGGGGAGCUGUCAAGAAGCUUUGAUCCGUAGAUUUCCGAAUGGGGCAACCCAAUGUAUAGAGAUAUACAUUACCUAUAUAGGAGCGAACGAGGGGAAUUGAAACAUCUUAGUACCCUCAGGAAAAGAAAUCAAUAGAGAUUGCGUCAGUAGCGGCGAGCGAAAGCGUAAGAGGGCAAACCCAGUGCUUGCACUGGGGGUUGUAGGACUGCAAUGUGCAAGAGGUGAGUUUAGCAGAACAUUCUGGAAAGUAUAGCCAUAGAGGGUGAUAGUCCCGUAUGCGAAAAACAAACCUUAGCUAGCAGUAUCCUGAGUAGGGCGGGACACGAGAAAUCCUGUCUGAAGCUGGGUCGACCACGAUCCAACCCUAAAUACUAAUACCAGAUCGAUAGUGCACAAGUACCGUGAGGGAAAGGUGAAAAGAACUGAGGUGAUCAGAGUGAAAUAGAACCUGAAACCAUUUGCUUACAAUCAUUCAGAGCACUAUGUAGCAAUACAGUGUGAUGGACUGCCUUUUGCAUAAUGAGCCUGCGAGUUGUGGUGUCUGGCAAGGUUAAGCAAACGCGAAGCCGUAGCGAAAGCGAGUCUGAAUAGGGCGCUUAGUCAGAUGCUGCAGACCCGAAACGAAGUGAUCUAUCCAUGAGCAAGUUGAAGCUAGUGUAAGAACUAGUGGAGGACUGAACCCAUAGGCGUUGAAAAGCCCCGGGAUGACUUGUGGAUAGGGGUGAAAGGCCAAUCAAACUUCGUGAUAGCUGGUUCUCUCCGAAAUAUAUUUAGGUAUAGCGUUGUGUCGUAAUAUAAGGGGGUAGAGCACUGAAUGGGCUAGGGCAUACACCAAUGUACCAAACCCUAUCAAACUCCGAAUACCUUAUAUGUAAUCACAGCAGUCAGGCGGCGAGUGAUAAAAUCCGUCGUCAAGAGGGAAACAACCCAGACUACCAGCUAAGGUCCCUAAAUCUUACUUAAGUGGAAAACGAUGUGAAGUUACUUAAACAACCAGGAGGUUGGCUUAGAAGCAGCCAUCCUUUAAAGAAAGCGUAAUAGCUCACUGGUCUAGUGAUUUUGCGCGGAAAAUAUAACGGGGCUAAAGUAAGUACCGAAGCUGUAGACUUGAUUUUAUCAAGUGGUAGGAGAGCGUUCUAUUUGCGUCGAAGGUAUACCGGUAAGGAGUGCUGGAGCGAAUAGAAGUGAGCAUGCAGGCAUGAGUAGCGAUAAUUAAUGUGAGAAUCAUUAACGCCGUAAACCCAAGGUUUCCUACGCGAUGCUCGUCAUCGUAGGGUUAGUCGGGUCCUAAGUCGAGUCCGAAAGGGGUAGACGAUGGCAAAUUGGUUAAUAUUCCAAUACCAACAUUAGUGUGCGAUGGAAGGACGCUUAGGGCUAAGGGGGCUAGCGGAUGGAAGUGCUAGUCUAAGGUCGUAGGAGGUUAUACAGGCAAAUCCGUAUAACAAUACUCCGAGAACUGAAAGGCUUUUUGAAGUCUUCGGAUGGAUAGAAGAACCCCUGAUGCCGUCGAGCCAAGAAAAGUUUCUAAGUUUAGCUAAUGUUGCCCGUACCGUAAACCGACACAGGUGGGUGGGAUGAGUAUUCUAAGGCGCGUGGAAGAACUCUCUUUAAGGAACUCUGCAAAAUAGCACCGUAUCUUCGGUAUAAGGUGUGGUUAGCUUUGUAUUAGGAUUUACUCCGAAAGCAAGGAAACUUACAACAAAGAGUCCCUCCCGACUGUUUACCAAAAACACAGCACUCUGCUAACUCGUAAGAGGAUGUAUAGGGUGUGACGCCUGCCCGGUGCUCGAAGGUUAAUUGAUGGGGUUAGCAUUAGCGAAGCUCUUGAUCGAAGCCCGAGUAAACGGCGGCCGUAACUAUAACGGUCCUAAGGUAGCGAAAUUCCUUGUCGGUUAAAUACCGACCUGCAUGAAUGGCGUAACGAGAUGGGAGCUGUCUCAAAGAGGGAUCCAGUGAAAUUGUAGUGGAGGUGAAAAUUCCUCCUACCCGCGGCAAGACGGAGAGACCCCGUGGACCUUUACUACAGCUUGACACUGCUAUUUGGAUAAGAAUGUGCAGGAUAGGUGGGAGGCUUUGAGUAUAUGACGCCAGUUGUAUAUGAGCCAUUGUUGAGAUACCACUCUUUCUUAUUUGGGUAGCUAACCAGCUUGAGUUAUCCUCAAGUGGGACAAUGUCUGGUGGGUAGUUUGACUGGGGCGGUCGCCUCCCAAAUAAUAACGGAGGCUUACAAAGGUUGGCUCAGAACGGUUGGAAAUCGUUCGUAGAGUAUAAAGGUAUAAGCCAGCUUAACUGCAAGACAUACAAGUCAAGCAGAGACGAAAGUCGGUCUUAGUGAUCCGGUGGUUCUGUGUGGAAGGGCCAUCGCUCAAAGGAUAAAAGGUACCCCGGGGAUAACAGGCUGAUCUCCCCCAAGAGCUCACAUCGACGGGGAGGUUUGGCACCUCGAUGUCGGCUCAUCGCAUCCUGGGGCUGGAGCAGGUCCCAAGGGUAUGGCUGUUCGCCAUUUAAAGCGGUACGCGAGCUGGGUUCAGAACGUCGUGAGACAGUUCGGUCCCUAUCUGCCGUGGGCGUAAGAAGAUUGAAGAGAUUUGACCCUAGUACGAGAGGACCGGGUUGAACAAACCACUGGUGUAGCUGUUGUUCUGCCAAGAGCAUCGCAGCGUAGCUAAGUUUGGAAAGGAUAAACGCUGAAAGCAUCUAAGCGUGAAGCCAACUCUAAGAUGAAUCUUCUCUAAGCUCUCUAGAAGACUACUAGUUUGAUAGGCUGGGUGUGUAAUGGAUGAAAGUCCUUUAGCUGACCAGUACUAAUAGAGCGUUUGGCUUAUCUUUAAUAAAGCAU